rnacentral:rRNA from 1 species
UACGUAGGGGGCAAGCGUUGUCCGGAUUUAUUGGGCGUAAAGAGCGUGUAGGCGGCCAAGCAGGUCCGCUGUGAAAACUCGAGGCUCAACCUCGAGACGUCGGUGGAAACCGUUUGGCUAGAGUCCGGAAGAGGAGAGUGGAAUUCCCGGUGUAGCGGUGAAAUGCGCAGAUAUCGGGAAGAACACCCGUGGCGAAGGCGGCUCUCUGGGACGGUACUGAUGCUGAGACGCGAAAGCGUGGGGAGCGAACAGG